rnacentral:rRNA from 1 species
UUUACGGGAGGCAGCAGUGGGGAAUAUUGCACAAUGGACGAAAGUCUGAUGCAGCGACGCCGCGUGAGGGACGAAGGCCUUCGGGUUGUAAACCUCUUUUAGCAGGGAAGAAGCGAAAGUGACGGUACCUGCAGAAAAAGCACCGGCUAACUACGUGCCAGCAGCCGCGGUAAU